rnacentral:rRNA from 1 species
CGGACGGGUGAGUAAUGUAUGGGGAUCUGCCUGAUGGCGGGGGAUAACUACUGGAAACGGUAGCUAAUACCGCAUAACGUCUACGGACCAAAGCGGGGGACCUCCGGGCCUCGCGCCAUCAGAUGAACCCAUAUGGGAUUAGCUAGUAGGUGAGGUAACGGCUUACCUAGGCGACGAUCCCUAGCUGGUCUGAGAGGAUGAUCAGCCACACUGGGACUGAGACACGGCCCAG